rnacentral:rRNA from 1 species
UACGUAGGGUGCAAGCGUUAAUCGGAAUUACUGGGCGUAAAGCGUGCGCAGGCGGUUUUGUAAGUCUGUCGUGAAAGCCCAGGGCUCAGCCUGGGAAUUGCGAUGGAGACUGCAAGGCUUGAAUCUGGCAGAGGGGGGUAGAAUUCCACGUGUAGCAGUGAAAUGCGUAGAGAUGUGGAGGAACACCGAUGGCGAAGGCAGCCCCCUGGGUCAAGAUUGACGCUCAUGCACGAAAGCGUGGGGAGCAAACAGG